rnacentral:rRNA from 1 species
CGCAGCCGCGGUAAUUCCAGCUCCAAUAGCGUAUAUUAAAGUUGUUGCAGUUAAAAAGCUCGUAGUUGAAUUUCGGGAUCAAUAUGUCGGUCGUGCUUCGGUACGUACUGGCGUUAUUGGUUUCUCCCUUCUGAAGAACCGCGAUGUCAUUAAUUUGGUGUCGUGGGGAAUCAGGACUGUUACUUUGAAAAAAUUAGAGUGUUUAAAGCAGGCUCGCGCUUGAAUACAUUAGCAUGGAAUAAUGAAAUAGGACGUUUGAUUCUAUUUUGUUGGUUUCUAGGAUCGACGUAAUGAUUAAUAGGGAUAGUUGGGGGCAUUAGUAUUCAAUUGUCAGAGGUGAAAUUCUUGGAUUUAUUGAAGACUAACUACUGCGAAAGCAUUUGCCAAGGAUGUUUUCAUUAAUCAAGAACGAAAGUUAGGGGAUCGAAGACGAUCAGAUACCGUCGUAGU